AUUGAACGCUGGCGGCAUGCUUUACACAUGCAAGUCGAACGGUAACAGGGUGCUUGCACCGCUGACGAGUGGCGAACGGGUGAGUAAUGCGUCGGAACGUGCCAAGUAGUGGGGGAUAACGCAGCGAAAGUUGUGCUAAUACCGCAUACGUACUGAGGUAGAAAGUGGGGGACCUUCGGGCCUCACGCUAUUCGAGCGGCCGACGUCUGAUUAGCUAGUAGGUGAGGUAAAGGCUCACCUAGGCGACGAUCAGUAGCGGGUCUGAGAGGAUGAUCCGCCACACUGGGACUGAGACACGGCCCAGACUCCUACGGGAGGCAGCAGUGGGGAAUUUUGGACAAUGGGCGAAAGCCUGAUCCAGCCAUGCCGCGUGUCUGAAGAAGGCCUUCGGGUUGUAAAGGACUUUUGUCGGGGAGGAAAUCCCCAGCGUUAAUACCGCUGGGGGAUGACAGUACCUGAAGAAUAAGCACCGGCUAACUACGUGCCAGCAGCCGCAGUAA
rnacentral:rRNA from 1 species